UACAGAGGUCUCAAGCGUUGUUCGGAUUCAUUGGGCGUAAAGGGUGCGUAGGCGGCGCGGUAAGUCGGGUGUGAAAUCUCGGAGCUCAACUCCGAAAUUGCACUGGAUACUGCUCUGCUAGAGGGCUGGAGAGGAGAUCGGAAUUCACGGUGUAGCAGUGAAAUGCGUAGAUAUCGUGAGGAAGACCAGUGGCGAAGGCGGAUCUCUGGACAGCUCCUGACGCUGAGGCGCGAAGGCUAGGGGAGCAAACGGG
rnacentral:rRNA from 1 species